rnacentral:rRNA from 1 species
UUUGUGGAGGGUUCGAUUCUGGCUCAGGAUGAACGCUGGCGGCGUGCUUAACACAUGCAAGUCGAACGGGAUCCAUCGGGCUUUGCUUGGUGGUGAGAGUGGCGAACGGGUGAGUAAUGCGUGACCGACCUGCCCCAUGCACCGGAAUAGCUCCUGGAAACGGGUGGUAAUGCCGGAUGCUCCAUCACACCGCAUGGUGUGUUGGGAAAGCCUUUGCGGCAUGGGAUGGGGUCGCGUCCUAUCAGCUUGAUGGCGGGGUAACGGCCCACCAUGGCUUCGACGGGUAGCCGGCCUGAGAGGGCGACCGGCCACAUUGGGACUGAGAUACGGCCCAGACUCCUACGGGAGGCAGCAGUGGGGAAUAUUGCACAAUGGGCGUUGAGUGUACCUUUCGAAUAAGCACCGGCUAACUACGUGCCAGCAGCCGCGGUAAUACGUAGGGUGCAAGCGUUAUCCGGAAUUAUUGGGCGUAAAGGGCUCGUAGGCGGUUCGUCGCGUCCGGUGUGAAAGUCCAUCGCUUAACGGUGGAUCCGCGCCGGGUACGGGCGGGCUUGAGUGCGGUAGGGGAGACUGGAAUUCCCGGUGUAACGGUGGAAUGUGUAGAUAUCGGGAAGAACACCAAUGGCGAAGGCAGGUCUCUGGGCCGUUACUGACGCUGAGGAGCGAAAGCGUGGGGAGCGAACAGGAUUAGAUACCCUGGUAGUCCACGCCGUAAACGGUGGAUGCUGGAUGUGGGGCCCGUUCCACGGGUUCCGUGUCGGAGCUAACGCGUUAAGCAUCCCGCCUGGGGAGUACGGCCGCAAGGCUAAAACUCAAAGAAAUUGACGGGGGCCCGCACAAGCGGCGGAGCAUGCGGAUUAAUUCGAUGCAACGCGAAGAACCUUACCUGGGCUUGACAUGUUCCCGACGAUCCCAGAGAUGGGGUUUCCCUUCGGGGCGGGUUCACAGGUGGUGCAUGGUCGUCGUCAGCUCGUGUCGUGAGAUGUUGGGUUAAGUCCCGCAACGAGCGCAACCCUCGCCCCGUGUUGCCAGCGGAUUAUGCCGGGAACUCACGGGGGACCGCCGGGGUUAACUCGGAGGAAGGUGGGGAUGACGUCAGAUCAUCAUGCCCCUUACGUCCAGGGCUUCACGCAUGCUACAAUGGCCGGUACAACGGGAUGCGACAGUGCGAGCUGGAGCGGAUCCCUGAAAACCGGUCUCAGUUCGGAUCGCAGUCUGCAACUCGACUGCGUGAAGGCGGAGUCGCUAGUAAUCGCGAAUCAGCAACGUCGCGGUGAAUGCGUUCCCGGGCCUUGUACACACCGCCCGUCAAGUCAUGAAAGUGGGCAGCACCCGAAGCCGGUGGCCUAACCCCUUGCGGGAGGGAGCCGUCUAAGGUGAGGCUCGUGAUUGGGACUAAGUCGUAACAAGGUAGCCGUACCGGAAGGUGCGGCUGGAUCACCUCCUUU